rnacentral:rRNA from 1 species
AUGCCUAGUACUGGACAUGCAACUGCCCCCCUCGGACUCGCAAGUACACCACCCCCUCUCCCGCCGCCCUCCGAGAAAAACACAAGGCCAAUUGCAGCCAGGGACGACACCUGUAGUUGCAUCCCUAGUACUGGACAUGCAAUUGGGCCCACCCACGUCACUCACAUACAAAAAAUAAAAGUUAGUUGCAGUUGGGGUGUAUGCAUCCAGUUGCGGUUGAGGGCGACCCUUGCAAUUGCAAGCCUACUGUUGGACAUGCAACUGUCCCCUCCCCCUCUCCAACAAAAAACGCAAUGCCACUUGCAGUCAGGGAGGAGACAUGCAGUUGCGGUCGAGGGCGACACUUGCAGUUGCAAGUCUAGUAUCGGACAUGCAACUCGCAGCCCUCUCCUCCCGCACCCUUACAAAAACAAAAAUGGUAGUUGCAUUUGUCUCUGUGGGCAUGCGAUUGCGGUCAAGGGUGACACUUGA